UCAGACGAUGCGUCAUGCAUAUCAAUAAGCGGAGGAAAAGAAACUAACAAGGAUUCCCUCAGUAACGGCGAGUGAAGCGGGAAGAGCUCAAAUUUGAAAUCUUGAAAGGUCACCUUUCACGAAUUGUAGUUUAAGGAAGUGUUUUCUGUUACGAUCGUAAUAUAAGUUCUUUGGAAUAGGACAUCACAGAGGGUGAGAAUCCCGUCUAUGAUUGCGAUUUGUAGCUUUGUGAUACACUUUCAAAGAGUCGGGUUGUUUGGGAAUGCAGCCCAAAACGGGAGGUAAAUUUCUUCUAAGGCUAAAUAUUGGCGAGAGACCGAUAGCGAACAAGUACCGUGAGGGAAAGAUGAAAAGAACUUUGAAAAGAGAGUUAAAUAGUACGUGAAAUUGUCAAAAGGGAAGCGUUUAACACCAGUGUUGUUUUCUGAAAAUCAACCUCUGUUAGCUUUAUGCAUGUUUGUUUAGACCUAAUCAGCUAUCUUGCAUGUUCUAUUGUUUGCAGUGGUGCACUUUUCAGUUUACAGGUCAACAUCAGUUUUUUUUACCGUAAAAAAGUUAAAGAAAGGUAGCUCAUGGCUCCGGUCGUGAGUGUUAUAGUCUUUUUCCUAUGCGGUAGGAGAGACUGAGGUCUGCAGUGUAGGCUAUUUGGCUAGAUACUCAGGUGCUAUGUGAUACCAUUUCAUAAACAACUUGUUGAUUAUGUUUUGUCUAUUGCAUACUCGCUUGUACUAUCAUACCUACGCUUAGGAUGUUGAAGACUCUACAGAGAUA
rnacentral:rRNA from 1 species